CUUUCUUUGCUGGCGACCGGCGCACGGGUGAGUAACACGUAUCCAACCUGCCCUUUACUCGGGGAUAGCCUUUCGAAAGAAAGAUUAAUACCCGAUGGCAUAGUUCUUCCGCAUGGUAGAACUAUUAAAGAAUUUCGGUCAUCGAUGGGGAUGCGUUCCAUUAGGUUGUUGGCGGGGUAACGGCCCACCAAGCCUUCGAUGGAUAGGGGUUCUGAGAGGAAGGUCCCCCGCAUUGGAACUGAGACACGGUCCAA
rnacentral:rRNA from 1 species